AAAGGUUUGUAACCGCACGGGCCAGGUAUGUGCAAAGCAGGCAUUUCCUGCACCUGUUCCGGCGAGUCUGAGUGUCGAG
rfam:Bacillus thermozeamaize isolate ZCTH02-B2 BIN02_NODE407133679, whole genome shotgun sequence.